CGGUCGUUGAUUGGUUACUUGUAGACGCCAUCUUGACUACCGGUCGUUGAUUGGUUACUUGUAGACGCCAUCUUGACUACCGGUCGUUGAUUGGUUACUUGUAGACGCCAUCUUGACUACCGGUCGUUGAUUGGUUACUUGUAGACGACUUCCUGCCUUUGCCAACCACCAGAGAAGUUUCCAGAACCGCUAGUAUUAAAACAUGUUUAUUUGGAUUAAAAAGCCUGUAUGGAACAUCCAGUUAUACAGUAUGUAACGACACAAAGCAGGUAAACGCAGAGAGAAAGAAAACCAACCUCCACUUAAGUCACAUUUGACUUGACACCCCCAUUAGAAAGUGACCACUAGGUUACCUUAUGAAAUUCAGGAUCAGGUAAAGUACCAGGUUAAAAACAAAAGAAAUACAACAUCACUGGGAUGGUUUAACAGACCUUCAGAAAAUGGCAAUUGAACUGCACCCCCAUUGGGUACACUCAAGGCACGGCACCACCCGUCACAUACCCGAAUGUGGAUGACCAUUCUAGUAAUUCUAUUUCUACGGUUGAAAAGCACUGUGCUGUAAGGCUGGCUUGCUGCUGACAUUCUGAUACUGGGAUAGAUUCAACAGGAUUCAGCAAACGGUUUCACAUGUAGAAUUACAACGGCUGCCAUUUUGGCACCAAAGUAAAGUACUGAGAUGUAAUAUGGAGGGUAGUUUGGUGUCUAUGGAGGGUAGUUUGGUGUCUAUGGAGGGUAGUUUGGUGUCAAUAUGGAGGGUAGUUUGGUGUCAAUAUGGAGGGUAGUUUGGUGUCAAUAUGGAGGGUAGUUUGGUGUCCUAUGGAGGGUAGUUUGGUGUCCUAUGGAGGGUAGUUUGGUGUCUAUGGAGGGUAGUUUGGUGUCUAUGGAGGGUAGUUUGGUGUCAAUAUGGAGGGUAGUUUGGUGUCUAUGGAGGGUAGUUUGGUGUCUAUGGAGGGUAGUUUGGUGUCUAUGGAGGGUAGUUUGGUGUCUAUGGAGGGUAGUUUGGUGUCUAUGGAGGAUAGUUUGGUGUCAAUAUGGAGGGUAGUUUGGUGUCAAUAUGGAGGGUAGUUUGGUGUCAAUAUGGAGGAUAGUUUGGUGUCAAUAUGGAGGGUAGUUUGGUGUCAAUAUGGAGGGUAGUUUGGUGUCUAUGGAGGGUAGUUUGGUGUCUAUGGAGGGCAGUUUGGUGUCACUAUGGAGGACAGUGUGGUGUCAUUAUGGAGGGCAGUGUGGUGUCAAUAUGGAGGACAAUUUGGUGUCAAUGUGGAGGGUAGUUUGUCACUGUGGAUGGUAGUUUGGUGUCUGGAGGACAGUGUGGUGUCAAUAUGGAGGACAAUUUGGUGUCAAUGUGGAGGGUAGUUUGGUGUCAAUAUGGAUGGUAGUUUGGUGUCAAUAUGGAUGGUCGUUUGGUGUCAAUAUAGAGGGUAGUGUGGUGUCAAUGUGGAGAGUAGUGUGGUGUCAAUGUGGAGAGUAGUGUGGUGUCAAUGUGGAGGGUAGUGUGGUGUCAAUGUGGAGGGUAGUGUGGUGUCAAUGCGGAGGGUAGUGUGGUGUCAAUGCGGAGGGUAGUGUGGUGUCAAUGCGGAGGGUAGUGUGGUGUCAAUGCGGAGGGUAGUUUGGUGUCAAUACGGAGGGUAGUGUGGUGUCAAUGCGGAGGGUAGUUUGGUGUCAAUGCGGAGGGUAGUUUGGUGUCAAUACGGAGGGUAGUGUGGUGUCAAUACGGAGGGUAGUGUGGUGUCAAUGCGGAGGGUAGUGUGGUGUCAAUACGGAGGGUAGUUUGGUGUCAAUGCGGAGGGUAGUGUGGUGUCAAUGUGGAGGGUAGUGUGGUGUCAAUGUGGAGGGUAGUGUGGUGUCAAUGUGGAGGGUAGUUUGGUGUCAAUGUGGAGGGUAGUUUGGUGUCAUUGUGGAGGACAGUGUGGUGUCAAUAUGGAGGGUAGUUUGGUGUCAAUGUGGAGGGUAGUUUGCCAAACUGUUUUCGAUCUAUUCCUUAUCAUACUGAGAUGUAAACAGAAUGCUCAUCAACCACAUCAGUACUACAACACAUACUCAUUCAUUCGCUUAACAAACACUUUCUCAGUCCCUGUACCUCACACACCCACACAGACCUGCUAUAUACACAGUGGACAAAACAUUAGGAACACCUUCCUAACAUUCAAUUGCACCCCCCUCUUGCCCUCAGAAUGGCCUCAAUUCGUCAGGUUAUGGACUCUACGGAAAGCGUUCCACAGUGAUGCUGGCCCAUGUUGACUCCAAUGCUUCCCACAGUUGUGUGAAGUUGGUUGGACCUCCUUUGCUUGGUGGACCAUUCUUAAUACAAACAGGAAACGGUUGAGCGUGAAAAAGCAGCGUUGGAAGUUCUUGACACAAACCGGUGCGCCUGGCACCUACUACCAUACUGUUCAAAGGCAAUUCAAUAUUUAGUCUUGUCCGUUCACCUUCUGAAUGGCACUGAUACACCAAGGCUCAAGAAUCCUUCUCUAAUCUGAAUCCUUCUUUAAUCUGAAUCCUUCUUUAAUCUGUAUCCUUCUCUUCAUCUACACUUGACUAAAGUGGAUUUCGAAUCGAUAAAAACAUCAUAGGUUUUACCUGGAUUCAGCAAUGCUUUUUAUACUCGGUGUAUAUUCACUCCACAUGCUGUUCUGUUACAGAUGGAAUUUAAAAUGGAUUCAAUUGAGAUUUUGUCACUGGACUACACACAAUACCCCAUAAUGUCAAAGUGGAAAUAUGUUGUUUUUUUUAGAAAUGUUUACAAAUGAAUAAAAAAUGAAAAGCUGAAAUGUCUUGAGUCAAUAAGUUUUCAACCCCUUUGUUAUGGGAAGUCUAAAUAAGUUCAGGAGUAAACGUGUGCUUAACAAGUCACAUAAUAAGUUGCAUGGACUCACUCUGUGUUCAAUAAUAGUGUUUAACGUGAUUUUUGAAUGACUACCUCAUCUCUGUACCCCACAUACACAAUUAUCUGUAAGGUCUCUCAGUUGAGCAGUGAAUUUCAAACACAGAUUCAACCACAAAGACCAGGGAGGUUUUCCACAGCCUCGCAAAGAAGGGCCAGAGGGAAAAGAAGGACGCAUGUACAGAAUACAAAUAUUCCAAACCAAGGCACUUAAGUAAAACGGCAAAAAAUGUGUCAAAGACAUGAACUUUUUGUCCUGAAUACAAAGCAUUAUGUUUGGGGAAAUACAACACAUUACAGAGUACCACUCUUCAUAUUUUGAAGCAUGGUGGUGGCUGCAUCAUGUUAUGGGUAUGCUUGAAAUCCUUUAGGACUAGGUAGUUUUUCAGGAUAAAAAAGAAAUGGAAUUGAGCUAAACACAGGCAAAAUCCUAGAGGAAAACCUGGUUCAGUCUGCUUUCCAACAGACACUGGGAGAUGAAAUCACCUUUCAGCAGGACAAUAACCUAAAACAUAAGGCCAUUUACACACUGGAGUUGCUUACCAAGACGUCAUGGAAUGUUCCUGAAUGGCCUAGUUACAGUUUUGAUUGAAUCCUGUUCUUGAUAUAGAUUUUCAAAUAAAUUUGUCUAGCAAUGAUCAACAACCAAUUUGACUGAGCUUAAAGAAUUUUGAAAAUUAUAAAUGGGCAAAUGUUACACAAUCCACAUGUGGAAAGCUCUUAGAGAUUUACCCAGAAAGACUCAUAGCUCUUAGAGAUUUACCCAGAAAGACUCACUGUCAGUGGUGCUUCUACAAAGUAUUGACUCAGGGGUGUAAAUACUUAUGUAAAUUAGAUAUUUCUGCAUUUCAUUUUCAAUAAAUUUGCAAACAUUUCUAAGAACAUGUUUUCACUUCGUCAUUAUGGGCUAUUGUAUGUAGAUCUGUGAGAAAAAGAAACUAUUUAAUCAAUUUUGAAUUCAGGCUGUAAAACAAAAUAUGGAAUAAGUCAAGGGGUAUGAAUAUUUUCUGAAGGCACAUAUUCAAAGAUACACUACAUUAUUCAAAGUAUG
ensembl:lncRNA